rnacentral:lncRNA from 1 species
UCGUGUAAUCUAUUCUUGUGAGUAAUAGAGGUUGUUUUUCUCUCAAAUUUGUGUUUAUCAGCGCCCAAUGGACCCCAACAAUACCCCAACAAGUGGUAUCAGAGCCAGGUUAGAGGCAUUGGUCGAGUUUUUUAGGUGACGGGCCAAAUUUGGGUUUUUCGGAGCUUUGCUCGAAAUCCAAUUCUGACGGCACCAUUGAAUUCAUCUCGUCAAACGGAGUCCAACGCACCAAACAGCGGCCUAAUCGGAGUUCAAACGAGCCCAGAAAUCGCGGUCAAAGUUUGGUCAACUUUGCCGGAGGU